rnacentral:rRNA from 1 species
AUACGGGGGGGGCAAGCGUUGUCCGGAAUUACUGGGCGUAAAGCGUACGUAGGCGGUUGGUUAAGUUAGAUGUGAAAGCCCCGGGCUUAACCUGGGAACUGCAUUUAAAACUGGCGAACUAGAGUUGAGUAGAGGGGAGUGGAAUUUCAGGUGUAGUGGUGAAAUGCGUAGAGAUCUGAAGGAACACCAGUGGCGAAGGCGACUCCCUGGACUCGAACUGACGCUGAGGUACGAAAGCGUGGGUAGCAAACGGGAUUAGAAACCCGAGUAGUCC